AGAGGCGUCAGGAUCCCUGGCGCCGCCUGAGCCAGCGGCUGCUAGGAGGCUGUGUCCGCAAGCCAGCGGGGCGAGGCGGCUGGGCCCUGCGCGUCAGGUCCCGGCCUGGGGCACCGGGGCUGCCAGCGUCGGAGGAGGCCUGAGAACUGGGAGGAAGCUGGAGAAAAGAUGCCCUCUGAAUCUUUGUGUUUGGCUGCCCAGGCUCGCCUUGACACCGAAUGGUUGAAAACAGAUAUACAGAUGAUAGUGUCGAACCAAGUGGAACAAAGAAAGAAGAUCUGAAUGACAAAGAGAAAAAAGAUGAAGACGAAACUCCUGCACCUGUAUAUAGGGCCAAGUCAAUUCUGGAGACCUGGGUGUGGGUCAAGCAACCAGGAAACGGAAGCCCAAAGAGGAGGGGAGCUUACAGCAGGCCCUGGACUAGGGAUUAACACAAAAACAACAGCAACAAAUCUGAUUUAAGCUUCACACAUGAGACCGGCCAGCCAAGACUCACAUCCUCAGGCGAGUGGCAGCCCCCCGAAGUGGUUGUCUCAGGGUUAGUGCCAUGAUUUAUUUUCUUCUUUUUGGUGUCGGUUGCUCCGGUACCAACACCAGCAAUGUUCCACUGACGAUAGUCUGUGAACUGUGGAAAAGAGGAGCAGUGAUACUCAUGAGAACUACAAGCUCCUACAGUCACUUUACAGUUUAUACAAAAUACUCUCAUAGACGAUCUGAUUUAAUGCCACCAACGACUGUACGAGGUGUUGUCGCAAUCACUUAGUGACUGAGAGGGAUUGAUACCAUGGCUAAAAGAAAGGCAAUAAUGGAACUGAAACUCAGUCUUCUGACUCUGAGCUCUGGGGUGUUGCCACAAAUCAGCAGCUGCCAGAGACCAAAACCAGAGGCAGAGGUAGGAAAGUAAAAAGUAGGCAGGAAGGUGUACACUGUGUGGUUUACAGUCGUACAUCCUCUUAGAGUUAUGUAUCCUCAGGGCAGAAGGCAGCCUUUCUGUUAAAUGUGGGAAUUAAACAGAAAGAGGACAACCCAAGCUGCAUUUCAGAGAGAAGUCUUGUAUACUCUUUGAAAUCUAUGUGCCUAUCAUCCCUAAGAACAUUAAUGUUUUGUCUCUCCCACGAGAAUCAAGGGAAACUGAUGCUUCAGAAAGAUGCCCCAUCUGUAUCCUGUGGCACUCAAAGUACCCCAGGUUGAGAUGAGAUGAGGAAGAUUCAAGUUGUCAAGUCCAGUUUCCCAAGAUCUCUUGCACAGAAGAUGAGCAAAUCUCACUUCAAAGAUCACUGACUGAUGGGCACUCUGGUCCCAGAACCAUGGAGAAUUCAAAUAUGAGUCUGGCUCUGUUAUCCAGGCUGGAAUGCAGUGGCGUGAUCUCAACUCAUUGCAAGCUCCACCUUCUGGGUUCAUGCCAUUCUCCUGCUUCAGCCUCCUGAGUAGCUGGGACUACAGGCGCCCAACACCACACCUGGCUAAUUUAUUGUAUUUUUUAGUAGAGACGGGGUUUCACCUUGUUAGCCAGGAUGGUCUCGAUCUCCUGACCUCGUGAUCCACCCGCCUCGGCCUCCCAAAGUGCUGGGAUUACAGGCUUGAGCCACCACGCCCAGACUUGUGAGGUUUUAAUAUGAAGUAUUAAAGCUAUGCUGGUUAGACAAUUUGGAAAAUGUUUCUUCUCCUAUUUCUGACAGAGUUUAUGUAAGAUGUGUGCUAUUUCUUCCUUAAGCAUUUGGAAAGAAUUCACUUAUUAAGCCAUGUGAGACUGUAGUUUUCUUUAUAAGGUGUUUAACUACAGGUUCAAUUACAUAUAUAUAAAUAUUCAUUUUGGUAACCUGUGUUUGCUGAAUCAAUUUGUUCAUUUUAUCGAAAAUUUCAAAGUUAUUCUAUUAUUCAUUUAUCUUUUUAAUACUUAUAAAGUCUCCGGUUAGAGUUUGUGCCUUUUGUCUGUUUUGUUAAUCAAUCUUGCUGGAGGCCAUCAAUUUUAUUAGUGUUUCAAAAAAGCAAACUUUGAUUUUAUUCAUCCCUUUACCAUACUGAAAAUGUUUUGCUUAAUUUCCAAACUUAUAGUUCCACUGUGAUUAAAUAUUUGUAUAACUAAAACUCUGUGGAAUUUGUGUCUUCUCAAUGAUUGAAAAUAUGAUUAAUUUUUAUAAAUAUUGCUUCUGCACUUGAAAAGGAUAUGUAUUCUGCAUGUUGAGCGUAGUGUACCACGUAUCUCAGUUAGGUCCAGUGUGUUAAAUGCAUCCUUUAAAGAUUCUAUGUGCUUACUGAUGUUUGUUUAUUUUUCAGUGGCUGAGACACAGAUAUUAAAGUUUCCCACAAUGAUC
rnacentral:lncRNA from 1 species